rnacentral:rRNA from 1 species
UACGGAGGGUGCGAGCGUUAAUCGGAUUUACUGGGCGUAAAGCGUGCGUAGGCGGCAUGUUAAGUCGGAUGUGAAAUCCCAGGGCUUAACCUUGGAACGGCAUUUCGAACUGUCAGGCUAGAGUAUGGUAGAGGAGUGUGGAAUUUCCUGUGUAGCGGUGAAAUGCGUAGAUAUAGGAAGGAACACCAGUGGCGAAGGCGCACUCUGGACCAAUACUGACACUGAGGUGCGAAAGCGUGGGGAGCAAACAGGAUUAGAACCCCUGUAGUCC